rnacentral:rRNA from 1 species
GACGAACGCUGGCGGCGUGCUUAACACAUGCAAGUCGAGCGAGAAAAGUUCUUCGGAACUUUUCUAGCGGCGGACGGGCGAGUAACACGUGGGCAACCUGCCUGAUAGAGGGGGAUAGCCUCCCGAAGGGGAGAUUAAUACCGCAUAACAUCAUUUUAAGGCAUCUUAGAGUGAUCAAAGGAGUAAUCCACUAACAGAUGGGCCCGCGUGCCAUUAGCUAGUUGGGGAGGUAACGGCUAGCCAAGGCCACGAUGGGUAGCCGACCUGAGAGGGUGAUCGGCCACAUUGGGACUGAGACACGGCCCAGACUCGUACGGGAGGCAGCAGUGGGGAAUAUUGCACAAGGGGGGAAACCCUGAUGCAGCAACGCCGCGUGAGUGAUGAAGGCCUUCGGGUUGUAAAGCUCUGUCUUCAGGGACGAUAAUGACGGUACCUGAGGAGGAAGCCACGGCUAACUACGUGCCAGCAGCCGCGGUAA